rnacentral:sRNA from 1 species
AUCCAAAGGAAUGAAUAAUUAAAAAGAAGUUUUGGCAGAUAAAUGCGAGAGAAAGAACCUUGAGUGUAGGCAAGAAACGGGCUUUGGUGGCUUCAU